rnacentral:rRNA from 1 species
GUCUAUGGCCACACCAUCCUGAACACGUCCGAUCUCAUCUGACCUGGGAAGCUAAGCAGGGUCGGACUUGGAUGGGAGAAACUUUUGCUUCCUGACUACAGACG